UGAGUCGAUCCUAAGCCAACUGUGAAAGCAGUGACAUCCCAACAAAGGAGCAUUUCGUGCGCCGCACUUACACCCCCAAUGCAAAGCUCUCGUGUAUCUCUCUCUCGCACAUGCGCGCGCGCACACGCAAUGAUCACUUAAAAUAAAGUGAGUGUGUGCGCUUCUAUGGUUACGCUCACGAGCGUUGAGGAUCUGCUGUCUGGCUUAUAAAGAGAGAGAGAGAGAGAAAGAGAGUGGGUGAGCGUGAGUUAUUGCUAUUGCAUGGCUUCCUGCGUUGGUUCUAUGUCCGGCGAAAGGGAAUGGGGACUUUGUUCCUUGACCGGUCCCGGCACCCUCGAUUGGCUCUGCCAAUUAAUGGUCCAUGCAAAUGGAACCAGGCCACAGCCGCUGGCAGUCGCCCGAGGAA
rnacentral:rRNA from 1 species